CCAGACUCCUACGGGAGGCAGCAGUCGGGAAUAUUGCGCAAUGGAGGAAACUCUGACGCAGUGACGCCGCGUGCAGGAAGAAGGUUUUCGGAUUGUAAACUGCUUUAGACAGGGAAGAAACAAGACAGUACCUGUAGAAUAAGCUCCGGCUAACUACGUGCCAGCAGCCGCGGUAAUACGUAGGGAGCAAGCGUUAUCCGGAUUUAUUGGGUGUAAAGGGUGCGUAGACGGAGAAGCAAGUUAGUUGUGAAAUCCCUCGGCUUAACUGAGGAACUGCAACUAAAACUACUUCCCUUGAGUGCUGGAGAGGAAAGUGGAAUUCCUAGUGUAGCGGUGAAAUGCGUAGAUAUUAGGAGGAACACCAGUGGCGAAGGCGACUUUCUGGACAGUAACUGACGUUGAGGCACGAAAGUGUGGGGAGCAAACAGGAUUAGAUACCCGCGUACA
rnacentral:rRNA from 1 species